CUCCCCACUUCUCUCUGGAUUAAACGAAAUGUACAAGUUCUGGCCUGCAUCUUUCCAUAGAGGGAGAUUCGGGAAAAUUAAGAAGCCAGAAAUCGCGCAGGUUGAAGGCACUUUUAAAAAGUCACUGUCCUCUACAAAACGUGACUUUCUCCAUUGUCUUCCAGGCACCUGCAGGAAUCCAAUUCCCAGCAUUCUUCUCUGGCGCGGCCCUCCUCCUCCCUAGACAGCAGGGCAGGGUAGGACUGGACCCAACGCCGACCCUUAGCUCAGCAGCCAAAUGAAGGAAGAGGUCGCUCCACUUCUACCUGCAGAAGGCUGUCUCCUGCGAGGACCAGAAGUUGAGCCAAGGCACAUGGAACUUACAAUAGCAGAUGGUAAGAACCAGGGCAGAAGGAGAACUCCUGAAGCCUCCGAAGGAAGGAAAUCAUUACAGGGCCCUACAGAAGUAGGUCAUGUGCUACAGCUGCUCAUAGUUUAAGAGGAAGAAACAUAGGACCUCAAACCUGGAACACGACUCUUUCAAAAUGCUUGUGAGCAACCCAAGAAAAACAUCCUCCUGAGGCUUAUCUAAUAACCAUGAUCUCUAAUCGUCUCAAUGUGUGCUCAUGUUUCCUUAGGAGUUUGCACCCACUUCUCAGAGCUAACGAGAUGCCGAAACAGAACACAGAGAAAAGUAAUGAAGGAGAUUUAAUAGUUUGUGUUAAAGCUAAUAUGGUCCAUUAGGAGCCGUCAUUUUUAUAAACAGUGAGGAUACGUUACCCUCUUCUUUGGUGUAAAGUCAUUCCAUGCAGGACCUGUAAACAUUCAGUAAUGAUCUGUAGAACAUGCAUGAACGACAAUUAAAGCGCCACUUGAAAAGUCUGUUUUCC
rnacentral:lncRNA from 1 species